UCCUCCAUAUCUGAACAUGUAUUUCAAUAUAAACUGUAUUAUAAAAUGGAAAGCUGAAUCACCACCUGAAUAUGGGAAAGGGACAGAGAGAUAAGGGAAAGCAAAGCCCAGCAGGACGCCCAGUGAGGUGAAUGGCAAGGAUAUGCAUCAAGAAAAGGAAGACAAGGAAGGAGAAGCAAGUAAGGAAGAUGACGAAUUCUCCUGGAACAUGUUAAAUCUGAGAUGUCUGUUGGCCAUCCAAAUUAAAACAUCCAGUAAGCACUGGGAUUAUAAGGCUCUGAAACUCUGGAGCAGGCUGUGCUGAAUAUAGAUGUAGGAGUCAUCUGGGAACCGGUGCCUGAAGUCCUACGUGUCGAAGAGAGAGCCACAGGAAAGUGUACAGAGUCAGCAAAGUUGAGAAUUAAGAUAGGAAUGCCAAUAUUUAUGUGAUGAGCAAAGAAGGAAGAGACCAUAAGCGAGAUCAAGAAGACUCUGGUCAAAAAGGGAAAAAGUGGAAUUUCACCGAGGCCACACGAUGUGCGAUACUGCAACUAACUGAAGGCAGAAGCAGAUGAAGUCUCACUCUGUCGCCCAGACUGGAGUGCAGCAGCACGAUCUCGGCUCACUGCAACCUCUGCCUCCUGGUUCAAGCGAUUCUCCUGUCUUCGCCUCCAGAGUAGCUGAGAUUAAAGGUGCCAGCCAUCACGCCCGGCUAAUUUUUAUAUUUUUAGUAGAGAUGGGGCUUCACCGUGUUGGCCACGCUGGUCUUGGGCUCCUGAUCUCGAGUGAUCCGCCCACCUCGGCCUCCCAAAGUGCUGGGAUUACAGGAAUGAGCCACCGCGCCCGGUUGUAAUUUCCUGUUUUUAAUAACAUGACACUUUUUUCAAUACUACUCUCCUCUGAAAAGAUAAAAAGCAUUUAGACAAAUUAUUUACACAACAUAUGACAGAUGGGGUAGAGUGGAAAGACACACAGCUUUAGAGCCAGACAGAACUGAGUUCAAGACCUAAUUCAGCCAUUUAGUAAUCGUGUAACCCGGGUCACUUACAGUUUCUCAACCUUGUAAAGCAAAGCUGUUGCAAGAAUUAAUAAAAUAUGUAAAGUAUGUAAAGCAUCAAGCCCAAUAUCUAGCACUCAAUAAACGGUACUUACUACUAUUCUUCUCACCUACUCCUUAUAGGGGAUAAAAGCAGCUUUGCCAGGGAAGAGGGAAGAUAUUGGAAAACACAAAUACUAGUUUAUAUUAAGCCAGUGACGAAGGACACUGAUUUUACCUGAUCAGUGUAAGAACUACAGCCGUGUUUUGGGUGGCAUACUCCUUCCAGAAUCUAACGAAAACAGAGCCCCUAGC